rnacentral:rRNA from 1 species
AGCUCCAAUAGCGUAUAUUAAAGUUGUUGCAGUUAAAAAGCUCGUAGUUGAAUUUCGGGUUUCCGGCGCUCCCGCUUCAUUGCGGGGACACGGGGACCCUCCUCGCCUUAGGGCGUCAUUUACUGUGAAAAAAUUAGAGUGUUCAAAGCAGGCAAUCGCUUGAAUACAUUAGCAUGGAAUAAUAAGAUAGGAUUACGUCUAUUUUGUUGGUUGCGGACGAUAAUAAUGAUUAAUAGGGAUAGUUGGGGGUGUCCGUAUUGAGCUGUCAGAGGUGAAAUUCUUGGAUUUGCUCAAGACGAACUACUGCGAAAGCAUUCACCAAGGAUGUUUUCAUUA